AACCCUAAUCCAAUCCCUAUGGAGGCUGAGGGGAGAGAUACUGCGUCGACUCCACUCCGGAAUCGAGCCGCAGAGAGGAGCGGCCGGUGUGCGUGCGUCCACCUGAAUUGAGGGAUGUGAUCGAGUCCAUCCGGUCGAUCCCAGCGACCGGAGGAGCGGGAGCCGAUCCACGAACGGCGGCGCUGCUGCUCGAGGACCCCGCUCUCGAGCCCCCUCCACCCCCUCCCUCCACAGCUGCCACAGCGUGCGCCUUGCAAUAUUGGCGUGUAGGCCAUGGCGCCCGACACCCAACUCCGGGCCGCCACCGCAAGCCGUCGCUCCCACCACUGCCUUCCCCGCAUCUUCGUCGCCAUCCUCUGGCUUCUGCUCCACCAACUAGGUUCACGGGAUAGCUGAAUGAAUCAACUCAUGUUGAUUGAAGCUGAAAUUUGUUAACAAAAAUUGUAGACGUAAUGCACGCACCUGUAGUUGGGGUUUCGCUCUGGUGGUAGGGAGAUGCUAAUGGAGCAGACGGUGCAGGGCGGGGAUGGCUUGAGGAGGCAAGCCCGGACAAUGCCGCUCACGCAUUGCCUGUAUCUUGGCAAAUUACGAGAAUUGCACUAUUGUCUGCAAAUAUAGGACAGAAGAGGGAGCUAAAAGAUGCUCGAAAGUCACUGAUAGAGGCUGCUAAGGACCUCGAGGAAGCAAACAAUAUAUUGCAUUUUGCCUACAGCACCAAUCAAUGCAGGGCUUUACCCAGCGAUAGCCGAAAAAGCAGAAAACAAGGCAUCAUACUAUUGUCAUUGAAAGUUUUGAUGUAUUUGCCCAAGCUAAUUUGUAGUAUGAAUUUGUGCUUCGGUUGAUUAGAAGGACCUAAAAUAAAAUGUACAGCCAUUGACUUCCAUUGUUAUAAAUCUAUUUGUAGUUUAUAUGAAUGAAUUUUCAAUGAAAUUAUAGGUUUCAUAUUUUCU